AAAGAGGAACAGGAAAGUGCUAGAAGGUACCUGCAGGCUGAAAAAGGGGAAGAGCUUGAGACACCAUGGGAACAAGACUCCAGUCAGGCAGCUGUAGUCCAGUGGAUGCUGAGUCUCAUCUCCAAUUGGCUCCUUGGAUCUUCAUUGCAUAUGGUGCACUUACUCCUAAUGUGGGCUUUGAUUGACACCAGUAAAAUUCUGCACAGAGUACGUGGAAGCCUCUACAUACCAGGAAAUCUUCCCUUCUUCAAGGGAUCCAGUUAACAAAGGCUUCUUGUAAACACCAGGUGCAAGAAACCCAAGACCUACUUCUGUAAAAUGCUUUGAGAUCCUUGGAUGAAAAGUGGUACAGAAUAUCUUUCGGCUUACCUACUUCCCUCCAAUGCAUGGAUGAUGCCCUUACUGAAGAUAUUGUGGGGUCCAGACAUCUCGCGUUUCAUCUGUGACAUUAAAUUGCAUUUGCCAUUUGCAGGCCUUGUCUCCUAAAAUCCUGAUUCCCAUUCAGUGUUUGUUGUUGUUCUAAACUGUAUAUAUAGCAAACAUCUUGAAUGUUGGUAUCCUUAUAACUUUACACCUCUGUCAUACUUCUAAUCCUUUUGGUUAAAUCAUGGUUGUAUAUUACGAACAGGAGAGGUCCUUAGGUUGACCUGAUAUUACACUCCUUUUAAUCUCUUACCAAGAAAGCUGCUGCUAAAAGUAAUUCUGAGGCAAUUUCCUAUCAAACAAGCAGUCUUAUCCCCAGCUUAAUGACUCCAUACCUUAGCCAAUAAUCUCUGGUGUGGAACUAAAUAUCAGAUGCUUUUAGAAAAUCAAAGUAUACAAUAUGCUUCCCUUGUCUACCGUAGCAGCUAUAUCACUGGAAAGAAAAAUCUCUACAAAGUUAGUUAAGCAUGACCUCCCUCACAUAAUAAACCAAUCCUGACUGGCUGCUAAGUGAUGGCUUCAAGGUGCUCUUUCAUUCAGUCUUGGAAAAUUAUUGGGG